rnacentral:misc_RNA from 1 species
GUACCUUCAAGCUCUGCUUGGUGUUGGGUGUUUGUCUCGCCUUUGCGUGUAGACUCGCCUUAAAACAAUUGGGAGCCGGCGUAUUGAUUUCCGAGCGCAGUACAUCUCGCGCUUUGCACUCAUAACGACGACAUCCAAAAAGUACUUUUUACACUCU